CAGCCGCCGCGGGAAUACGUAGGUCCCGAGCGUUGUCCGGAUUUAUUGGGCGUAAAGCGAGCGCAGGCGGUUAGAUAAGUCUGAAGUUAAAGGCUGUGGCUUAACCAUAGUACGCUUUGGAAACUGUUUAACUUGAGUGCAAGAGGGGAGAGUGGAAUUCCAUGUGUAGCGGUGAAAUGCGUAGAUAUAUGAAGGAACACCGGUGGCGAAAGCGGCUCUCUGGCUUGUAACUGACGCUGAGGCUCGAAAGCGUGGGGAGCAAACAGGAUUAGAUACCCCAGUAGUCCCUGUCUCUUAUACA
rnacentral:rRNA from 1 species